GACCUACGGGGCGCAGCAGUGGGGAAUAUUGGGCAAUGGGCGCAAGCCUGACCCAGCAACGCCGCGUGAAGGAAGAAGGCUUUCGGGUUGUAAACUUCUUUUGUCAGGGACGAAGCAAGUGACGGUACCUGACGAAUAAGCCACGGCUAACUACGUGCCAGCAGCCGCGGUAAUACGUAGGGGGCAAGCGUUAUCCGGAUUCACUGGGCGUAAAGGGAGCGCAGGCGGCAUAGCAAGUCUGAUGUGAAAACCCGGGGCCCAACCCCGGGAGUGCAUUGGAAACUGCCAGGCUGGAGUGUCGGAGG
rnacentral:rRNA from 1 species